GAUGAACGCUGGCGGCGUGCCUAAUACAUGCAAGUCGAGCGAACGGACGAGAAGCUUGCUUCUCUGAUGUUAGCGGCGGACGGGUGAGUAACACGUGGAUAACCUACCUAUAAGACUGGGAUAACUUCGGGAAACCGGAGCUAAUACCGGAUAAUAUUUUGAACCGCAUGGUUCAAAAGUGAAAGACGGUCUUGCUGUCACUUAUAGAUGGAUCCGCGCUGCAUUAGCUAGUUGGUAAGGUAACGGCUUACCAAGGCAACGAUGCAUAGCCGACCUGAGAGGGUGAUCGGCCACACUCGAACUGAGACACGGUCCAGACUCCUACGGGAGGCAGCAGUAGGGAAUCUUCCGCAAUGGGCGAAAGCCUGACGGAGCAACGCCGCGUGAGUGAUGAAGGUCUUCGGAUCGUAAAACUCUGUUAUUAGGGAAGAACAUAUGUGUAAGUAACUGUGCACAUCUUGACGGUACCUAAUCAGAAAGCCACGGCUAACUACGUG
rnacentral:rRNA from 1 species